AGAGACUCUCCGACUGAACACAUCACUACAUUAGGUCAUGUUUAACUUCAAUCACUGAUCAAAAUCAUGUCAAGGAUUAAAAACUGAUUCAAAUAAUCAAUAAUAAAGUCACCAACAGAAUAUAUUUAGAUCUUUACUGGAACGGAUGAAGACAGAAAACGACUCGCUUCAACAUGUAGCAGAACUGUGUUCACCAUGACCUCAGUUUACUGUCUCGCUGUCAUCUGAAGAUCCCCAUAAAACUGUGUAAUAUUUAGCGUUCGAUUAUAUUUCUUUAUUUAUUAAUAAUUCCUUUUUUUUUGUUUAAACCUCAAGAUUUUCUGCUUCCUUUUAGACAAGAACAUGUUUGUGGUUGUCAGCAUCAGUGGAUGAAAAUACACAUAACUACAGCUGCGCCACAGGAAGGUGAAAUCUCAGUGCUGAGCUGAAGAUCAGGAAAAACAUCACCACAAACUUUCAAAUCAACAGAAAGGUGUAAUUCAGAAAUAUCUCCACAGGAGGGCAACAUGUUUAAGCUCAUUCAAAUAGAUUUGCAGUGGUGCAAUUCAGCAAAAUCACCACACGAGAGCGAAUAUUUUAAAUUAAUCAAAUUCGCAGCGCUGCAAUUCAGAAAUAUCUUCACAGGAGGGAGAAACUCAGUAUUUUAAAACAGCAGCAGUGCAGUUCACAAAAAUCCCCACAAGAGGGCGAAUAUUUUAAAUUCAGUAAAUUCAAGAUUUGCAAAAGUGUAGUUCAGAGAAAUCUCCACAGGAGGGCGCAAUAUUUCCUACAUAUGUAAUAUUUGUAUAUUUGUCUAUUAUUAGCUCAGAUAUUCAGUGUGUGUAAUAAUGUGUGUAUCGACUCUACAGGAUCAGUGACGUGUUGUGGACUGUAAACCUGUUGAACAGAAGCAGAGACGUGUGGACAGACACUGACUGUACUAAUGAUGAUCAUCUGCUGCUGCACAGGCUGUAAAGUAUAACCCCUGCUGGACACGGCUCCGGAAGCUCCAGGGGGAGACCGAACUGGUAUCCCCCCUUCUUCAGGCGCGCCUCACACUCACUCACCAUUCACACAUAUCGCAGAGUUCUGGCUGGGACCGAUACCAGCAACCCCUGAAGCCGUGGGGCAGUGCUCUUACCACAGAGCCACAGAUCUCCUGUCUGAGCACCUGCUGGAACUGAUGUUGGACUGCUGACCUGUGUGUGAGCUGAUUCAAUAAAACAAGAAUAUAUGUCAGAUCUGAACCCUUGUCUUUAUGAGUCUCUUCCUCAGAGAACUUGUGUUUAUUCACUCAUCAACCAUCAUUAGUUUCACAUCAGCGUCCAUCAUCUUGAUGAACAUAAUGAACUCAGUGGGACAUUAGCCACGAUGAGGUUUGAACCCGGGUCUCCUAGAUUAAAGCUCAAUACUUUAAGACCUGAGCCACUGAGUCUGGACAGCGAAGGAGAGGUCAGAUCGGGGCUUUAUCACUAUUCUCAUACCGACCAAGGUUUGACACAUGUUUCUUUGUGAUUUGGGCCACAAAAAACCUUUUGGCAAAUGUCAAACCCUGUGGCUCAAAGGAUGAGCGUUCGCCUGCUAUUUAGAAGUGUGAAGGAUCGAAUCUCAUUUCUACCGAAUCGAGAUACAAGUCAGAUUUGAACUCUUGUCUUUAUGAGUCUCUUCCUCAGAGAACUUGUGUUUAUUCACCCAUCAUGGGUUUGGUUCCAUCAUCAGGGGCUCCUGGUCAGUAUAAUGAGGUCAAGAUGGACAUUAGCCAUAGUGAGGUUUGAACCCGGGUCUCCUUGAUUAAAGAUCAAUAGUUUAUGACUUGAGCCACUGAGUCUAGAUGGUGAACAAUGUGUCUGAAUGAGGCUUUAUCACUGUUUUCAUCAUGAACAAGGUUUGACAAAUAUUUCUUUGUAAUUUGGCUCACAAAACAACGACUGCCUGAUGUCAAGCCCUGUGGUUCAGUGGAUAAGACUCCGCCUGACAUACAGGAGACAUGGGUUCAAAUCCCACUAUUGCUUACUUUACUUUCGGUUGCUGGAAUUCAAUCAAACAGUGUGGCCCAAACAGCAGCUGACAGACUGAAAGCCAUGAUGGGCUAGUGGAUGAACACAAGAUUGCGGUGGACAAGGUAACGACAGAGGCCUGGGUACGAAACCCACCUCGAUGUCUGGCUCACACCGCUGCAAGUGCAAGGUAAUUAGAGUGGGAACACACACAUAAAAUUACUUUGUUGUUUUUCUGAUUAUCUCAGCAGUAAAAAGCAGCAGCAGUGCUUGGAUUUGAACCCAGGUAUGCUGUGACAGCUUCAGAUGUCAUGCUGUGUGCUCUGACCACUUCACCAUCACCACACACAUAAACCCACAUUUCUUUCUCCAAUGGGAGGAUAACCACAUUCUACACAUUUUGAAAAAAAAAAACUAAAUAAACACAAAUAAUUCAUAUCAAAUGUAAAUUAUUUUAAAUAAAUGUAAACUGCAUCAUAUGCAAAUAUAUUAUUAUAUUUCACUAUUCAAAAUGUGACAAACAUGCUUAUUCUUCAAUCAGACACAUGAACAUGUUUCAAAUUAUCUUACAGCUGCUUGUGGGGCUUUAAAUGUCACUAAACACAAUUAAACACUGUAAAUAUCAUCAUUUACCUCUAAAGUCUCCUCAUACUGUACUGAUGACUCUACACCAAAUCUGGCCAAUCACAUGCUUUCUACAGAAAGUCCCUCCCCCAACAUACACGCGACAGAGCAGCAGCACAACAAACACACUUUCUGGACUCUCUACUGGAAAUAUGAGCUCAUAAAUACCUUUACUGGAGCUGUGAAUCCGCCUGGAUGUGGAGGAGUGUGUGGAGGAGCAUCAGAAAGAGGAAAGAUGUGCAGCAGAAACACAACAGACACACGUGUGUAUCUUCACUGCUGCAGAGGAGAGAGAGCAAUGCCUGAACACAAACACUACAACAACAUCACUACAAACAAACCCAUGAAAGAAAGUCACUUACAGGAUCAGUGAAGUGUUGUGGACUGUAAGCCUGUUGAACA